GUUGUUGGUUUCUUUUUUUUUCUUUUUUUUAAACCUCCAAACUGGAACGCCAUCCAAGUAGAACUGCUCAGUAUAUUGUUUAUGCCGUGCCAAUACAGGACAGAUUGAAGACGGAAAGACGACUUGAACUGGGCUUUCCUCCUACUGAUCGCGGGGAGUAAAGUCAUCUCUUCUAUUCCGCUCGCCAAGGAGAGUGGGAGACCGGGAGAGAAAGAGGCGAGCGAGCGAAAGAGAGAGAGGGGGGGAGAGGAGAAAGGAAGAAAAAAACAAACAAACAAACCCCACCACCACCACGAGAGAAAGAAAACAACAGCCAUCAACUACGACCCCCCACCCCCUUUAUCUGACAUUUCCCACAAUUUUUUAUUUUUUAUUAUUUUUAGCCCCUUUUGGUUCAGAGCUGGUUUUGCCCCCAAAUUGUUUUAAUGUUUGGGAUUCAGGAAAAUAUACCACGAGGUGGGACGACCAUGAAAGAAGAACCGCUGGGCAGUGGAAUGAACCCAGUCCGAUCAUGGAUGCAUACAGCUGGGGUUGUGGAUGCUAACACAGCCGCGCAAAGCGGUGUGGGGUUGGCUCGGGCACAUUUCGAGAAACAGCCGCCUUCCAAUCUCAGAAAAUCCAAUUUUUUCCACUUCGUCUUAGCUCUGUACGACAGGCAGGGGCAGCCAGUGGAGAUUGAAAGGACUGCUUUUGUGGACUUUGUGGAAAAAGAGAAAGAGCCAAACAAUGAAAAAACUAACAAUGGAAUUCACUAUAAACUCCAAUUAUUGUACAGUAAUGCUUUUCCUCCCCCAUACGCAGGAGUUAGAACGGAACAGGAUUUGUACGUUCGGCUAAUAGAUUCCAUGACCAAACAGGCGAUUGUCUACGAGGGGCAAGACAAAAACCCCGAAAUGUGCCGAGUACUCCUGACCCACGAAAUCAUGUGCAGCCGGUGCUGUGACAAGAAAAGUUGUGGCAACAGAAAUGAAACACCUUCAGACCCUGUUAUCAUUGACAGAUUUUUUCUAAAGUUUUUCCUCAAGUGCAAUCAGAACUGUUUGAAGAAUGCAGGCAACCCGCGAGAUAUGCGAAGAUUCCAGGUUGUUGUAUCAACAACAGUCAAUGUGGACGGCCAUGUUCUGGCUGUCUCAGACAACAUGUUUGUACACAACAACUCCAAACAUGGAAGGCGGGCUCGCCGCCUUGACCCCUCAGAAGGUACGGCCCCUUCUUAUCUGGAAAAUGCAGCCACACCCUGUAUAAAGGCCAUCAGUCCUAGUGAAGGUUGGACAACUGGUGGAGCCACAGUCAUCAUAAUCGGCGACAACUUCUUUGAUGGCUUGCAAGUUGUAUUUGGAACCAUGUUGGUCUGGAGUGAGCUGAUAACACCCCACGCCAUCAGAGUUCAAACCCCGCCACGUCACAUUCCCGGAGUUGUUGAAGUAACUCUUUCCUACAAAUCCAAACAGUUCUGUAAAGGUGCUCCUGGACGGUUUGUCUAUACCGCUCUCAAUGAACCAACAAUAGAUUAUGGUUUCCAGAGGUUGCAGAAAGUCAUUCCGCGGCAUCCAGGUGAUCCUGAACGGUUACCAAAGGAAGUAUUACUUAAAAGAGCAGCUGACCUUGUUGAAGCCCUGUAUGGCAUGCCCCACAACAACCAGGAAAUAAUUCUGAAACGAGCAGCAGAUAUUGCAGAAGCAUUAUACAGUGUGCCACGCAAUCACAAUCAGAUCCCAACACUUGCCAACACCCCAGCUCAUACUGGCAUGAUGGGAGUAAAUUCAUUUAGCAGCCAGCUAGCAGUUAAUGUUUCAGAAACAUCACAAGCUAAUGACCAAGUAGGUUACAGUCGCAACACAAGCAGUGUUUCCCCGCGAGGAUAUGUUCCGAGCAGUACUCCUCAGCAGUCCAAUUACAACACAGUCAGCAAUAGCAUGAAUGGAUAUGGCAAUGCUGGCAUGCCCAAUCUUGGUGUACCUGGUUCCCCUGGAUUUCUUAAUGGCUCUUCAGCUAACUCCCCUUAUGGCAUAGUGCCGUCAAGCCCUACCAUGGCAGCCUCUUCGGUCACCCUCCCUUCAAACUGUAGCAGUACACACGGCAUUUUCUCAUUCUCACCUGCCAAUGUCAUCUCUGCAGUGAAACAAAAGAGCGCCUUUGCUCCUGUUGUCAGGCCCCAAGCUUCUCCUCCACCAUCUUGCACCAGUGCAAAUGGAAAUGGACUUCAAGGAGUCUCUGGAAAUUUACCAGUGCCUCAGACCUUUCUUCCUCCCUCCUGGCUGUAGUUUAAAAACCCCAAACCAAUUUAGGAAUCCUUUAAAGGCCUCCUCCUCCAAGAUCUACCACUGAUCUCAGGAAAUGUGAGAGGUAUGUCUGGGCUUGUAGUCCCGCCAAUGUAAAUUCAUUUUUGUUUACCUACAGUAGCACCAAGCUUCAGAAGAUGAGCUUUUAGGGGACAAGUUUAGUAUAUAAGACAUGCUGAUGGAAACAGUAUCUUCAAAAUACAAUCAGCAAAACAUUGAAAUGCUACAAAAAAAACUUUGUUUAAAGAUUUUUUUAAACUACUAAGAAUCAACAUGCAAACAAUCAACUUCUUCAUGAACUAUUCCAUUUUAUUAACUGAACUUCUCUCUUAUUUUCACAUUUCUUGAUCCUGAAGAAUAAGGAAAAAGCGACACCUAUUUUGUAUAAAGUUUCUGAUUACGUCUUGGCUAUGUCUAGUACUUGCUAUGUGUCGGGAAAAACUUUGUGGAUGCACCAUUUUGAUUAUCAUGAAACACUGAUGAAAAACGCCUCCAAAACAUUUUUCUGUACUCAUAACUAGAUUCACAAUGGUUGUGUAUCUCUAUAAUGUGAAAUAUUUUUUGUGGUGAAAAAAGGGGGCCAAGGAGGUAUGAGCCAUCAAAACUGGAAAAAAUAUAUUUGGGAAAAUUU